rnacentral:rRNA from 1 species
GCAUCGAUGAAGAACGCAGCGAAAUGCGAUAAGUAAUGUGAAUUGCAGAAUUCAGUGAAUCAUCGAAUCUUUGAACGCACAUUGCGCCCCCCAGUAUUCUGGCGGGCAUGCCUGUUCGAGCGUCAUU